AUUCCUUACAAAUCCCUAACCCCCUCUCCCUCUCUCUCCGUCGCUCACUUUCAAAAGCGAUCCCUAGCCCCUCUAGCCGUCGCACCCCCCUCCCCCCCUUACAAAUCCCUAACCCCCUCCAGAUUCAAGAAGCCAUCUUCUUCCCUGACCAAGUUCUCCUCUUCCUAAAAUCCCCCCCCCCCAUUUCUGAGCCCCCCAUUUCUGACCUUCUCUACCUCUACUACUCUUCCUCCCUCUCCAUCACCGCAGGCAGUGGCAGUUGGUGGGCUGCCCUAUGGAAGGCGGCCUCAUCCUUGGCUCCCCUCCUCUUUUCCCCGCUUCUUUUUAUGGCGUCAAGAAGCAACACGCAGAGAACAUCUCCAACGAUGAUGCCUUCGCCCGCCUUUGGGCCGCCGUCGAGUCCAACAUCGACGAUGCCCUCCAGGUCCUCCUCCUCUUUCUCCCUUCUAGGAUUUCUUUUUCCUAAUGUUCCCUUAGUGGCGCAUUUUUUUCUUUUUCCUGUUGUGUAGAAAUCAAAGAUGGCGGUCGGGGAGAAAAACCGUACGGCGGCGGGGGCGAUGAAUGCCGAGAUCCGACACACCAAGGCCUGAUUGAUCGAGGAGUUGCCCAAAGUGCAUAGGUUGGCACUCAAGAAGCUUGCUGACCAAAUAUACUGAAAGUAUGCGGAUCUAGCUGUGCCGGAACUCCGGCGAACUCCACCUCCCUCACUGCUGUCCUCCUCGCUUGCCACAGAUGCAAUAUUCUCAGCCUUUCUGGCUGUGAGAAGAGUGGCAGGCGGCGAAGCACGACAUCUAUUCGAUGGAAUGCUGACGAGAGACAUAGUCUUUUUGAUUCGAUGGUCUCGCGUCUUAUACCGAACGACAUUAAAAAAUGAGGGAUGAGGUUGAGACGAAGAACAAGAGGAGAAUCAUAGUGGCACCAAGACCGAACCUCGUCAUGCUUUGGAUCGAACUUUGCAGCGGUGGCAACUCCCAUCUUGGACGUACUGAGAAGUCAUCUUGUUAAUUUCUUUCUUCCACUUGGUCAUUCAGGGACAUAAGACUUUGUAUUAUAUUAUAGAGAGGUUUCAGCUCGUAUUAUCUUAUUCCAUUCAAAUUGAUAUGUCCCAGUAUAUUAAUCUCUAUAAAUUCAAUAUUUAGUUUGUAACAUUUAAAUAUUUAGUUUCAGCUUGCUGAGAAGGGAAAUAUUGCUUGUUUUGGA